rnacentral:lncRNA from 1 species
UCUUCUUUCCUUCCUAGAUCUUAAAAGUAUCAGUCUACAUAUAUAAUAAUUGCCAUUAAAAUGCCCAAAGUUAGCAAAGCUUGGAAGUUCUCUUCCCUAUGGUAAAAAGCUUUAGUUUCAGCUCAGGAAAUGUUAUCAUGGUUUUUUGGUUUGAGAAAACGGUCACCAAUUUUCUGAGGCAAAAUUGAGUAUCAAAAACUAGUUUUUUCCUAAUCCAAAAGUUUCAUAACUCUGCCUUUGAUUCUAGAUCGUCCGAUGAUUGGUCAUUAGAGGAAGUCUCAGGUGAUGAUGAUGAUGGUGAUGGUAGUGGAUCAGGGUUUUCCAGUU